GGUGAAGCACAAGUCAACCAGCAUGGCUAAUCGACUGGAUGACAAAGAACAAGCUGCAGGAGGACAUGGCCAUCUUCUUUCUGGUCCUUGCUUGCCUCACUGAGAGGAAGGAUGGUGACCUAACUGGUAAGUUUUGGGAAAGGAACUCCACCGUAUGGCUCAGUCUCUCCGGAAUCUCCUCCUCUGGCACCUGGCAGCCUGUGUGCCAGCAGGUGCCCACCGAAGUCUUUUCCUCCAUUCAGCCAGCUUACAGGACAGGCUCAGCCCGUCAAGAGCUGGAGUCACGUUUAAUUAGGAACGCUUCGUGAAAGUGCAUCUAAGCCACAUUCUCCAGUCAAUUUCAUCUGUGAGAAAGUGGAGGCGUUUGCGUCUCCAUUUGCUCUCUGUGCUUGUUCCUUGCUUGAGACGGGACACAGGGGUAUUACUGACAGCCCCCCAUACUCCCACCCCAAGCCCCUCUACUUAACAGUGCUCAACCCAUAGGAAGCGCUCAGUAAGUGCACAGACAUCUAUUCUAGGAGCCUAACAUUCUCCCAAACCAAUCCCACAGUAUCACAAGGUUGGCAAGGUCCCCAGAAGUCUCCUGAGGGGAAGACUGGACAACUCCACCCCAGCGACUCAGCCUUGUGGCCCUGAUGCUUUUGACUUCAGGCCUCAUUUGAUGACUUGCAGGUUCCUAAAAGGCUUGCCUCUUGAUAUUGGCCAGAGAGCUCUAACAGAAAGCCCUGGAGACUACAGCCUUAUAUCUUCACUUGAAAUAAUCUGCUUGUCCUUGUGGAAUGAGGAUGGAAAGAGGGAGAAAGCAGAGGGGUUAGAAUAGUAUGUUGUUGUGGGGGAGGUACCUAUUCCCUUUGAAUUGCCAAAUGACCUGGGGACCAGGGAAGCUCUACCUGAAUAUGGGGCUCUGCCCCAUUUAUCCUUUUCACAGAGGUCCUCAUCUUAAUAUUUCAAUAGCUAUGUUGGAAAGCCUGAUGAAAAUGAACUCUACCAUUACUUUGCUGUGAGACCUUGCGCAAGCGCCUUCACCUUUCUGGACCUCAGUCUCCUCAGACAGAUCAAGAAUAAGACCAUUGGGCUAAGUGUGAGCAGGAAAGAAUAAGGAGCUGGGAAGGGAUUGCCUAAGCCCUUGCAUGCUGGCUCUCUCCAGUGGGUGGCUAGACCCCCAGUUCCCUGCGCCCACCCAGGAGACUCACAGAAGGACGGGCAGGGAUUUCUGUGUUUCCCACUCUCAUUUCUAAGGCCUCGAAGUGCCCAAGUUUAGGUACAGUAUUCUGCCUCCUCUACCUUCCUCUAACCAGCCUUUUGUCU
rnacentral:lncRNA from 1 species